UUUCCGAUGGAUUCUGAGAGGUUUUGGAAGAACUUAACCCAGAAUAUAUGAACAAGGACUACAGGAUGUUAUAGUGAAGUUUUAUAAACCUAAGGAUGAAGACUGUGUCUUCUGUGUUGGGAUUUUUUUGAACCACCCUAUUGAAUUUGAGAGCAGGAAUCAAAUUUUUUAUUAAAUUCUAGACAUGUACAUAAAAAUCUAUAAAAAGAUAUCACUUUUUAUUAAAUUCUGAAGUUUUUGCAAAAAGGAAAAUGAGGAACCGGUUAUCAGAGGAUAUAUAACAAAAGCAAAGUGAAAAAAAUGAAGUGAAAGUCUUGAGAAAUAUUUCUGUAGAAGGCAGAAAAAUAUUCUUAUGCUGAGUUAACGUCAAGUAACCUUUUUUUCUUAUGGAAUAAAAGACCAUUAUUCUUUCAUUGUUGGGUGACUGCUUCAUUAAAUAUAGUGCUGACAUAAUUUUGUUUCAGCAUGACUGGUGGAAAAUGUCUGCAACACAGCAGAAAUUAACAUCUCUCAUCCAUCUUAUUCCAUAUCUAUCUUUUCAAUAAUCUACUUAUUUGUGACACUCACUCUGUUGGGUUUUUUUUAAUCUGCUUAGAUGGUACACUGCAAGGAACAAGGUCUGUUUUUCGGUUUGUUUAUAUACAGUGAGUAACUCAAUGGUUCACUGGAAAUUUUAAGAUGCUUUUGAAAUAGUGACUAAUAAUAAUUAAUAAUGUUUUGAAAUGAAAUUAUUUCCUAAUUUUUUUCACGUUUUUUCUUCUUACAGCUAUAUCUGGUAUGUUUAAUUCUUUUUAAGUUUCCUGUUGCACACAAUGUGCAAAGAUACAAUGUGGUAGCCAUUAGUAUGUUUGGCCACAUAAGAAGUAAUACAAGUGUAAAUAGAGAUCUGUCUGUGUAAUUUUUUUCUUAGGAAAUGGAAUACUGUCUGUUUUAACUGCUCUUUUAUUUACUUUAUAAUUUGUUUAUUUUAUUUUGUUUUCUUCCCUGAUUUCAGCAAGCACUGGUCUGGCUAAUUUCUAUUCAAUGUUUUUAAAUCUGAGUUUCCAUUGUACCUGGGAACAGGUGGGAAGUGGAAGCCACUGUUUGAUACUAUUUCCAACCUCACAUUUCAGAAAGGCUGGAGCUAAGUCAAGAUAUCAGAUGUCAAUUACCAAGUGUAGGCUAAGAUGGAAAGAUGUAGCAGGAGGAGAAGGAGCACAGGUGGCAUGAGCUCACAAGCACAGAAGGGAUGCCUGCAACCCAGACCACUGGGCAUGUGAACAUGUGACACCUUACCAUCCUCUCAGUCUGUCUUUCUCCUUGGCUUUAAAUGCAGAGGCCAGAGAGGUAAAGUAAAUGCUUUGCACUGAAAAUCUUGACUGCAUCAAGCCAUGAAAAGGAGGCUCAAUGAGCCUCCACCUCUCCUUGUCAUGUAUUGCAUUGACUGGAUGAAGUUCUGAGAGGGGAGUUUUAUACCAGAGACAUCAGCUCUGUGUAAAUUAGUAUCUGUGUCUUCUUGGGGGAAUUUUGUGUAAGAUUAUUUGUUUAUUCUGUUGUCUCAUCUGGUCCAGCUAUGGACCAGCUACAAACCAACCUUGGUAUUAUACAAUCCAACCAGAUGAGAAGUGUUACUCACCAAUACAGAUGAUCUCAUUAAAGAGGCAAAAAAUGGAGGCAGCCUGGGCUCUAGCGACCAUAUCUGGGUUGAGUUUGUUAUCUUGAGGAAUCUGGACCUGGAGCAGGUCUAAAGUUCAGGACUCUGAACUUCAGAACAGCAAACUUGCAGUUAUCUAAAGAAUUAGUGGAUGACAUCCCCUGGGAAACUGUCUUUAGGGACACAGGAGCUUACCAGAGCUGGCAACUCUUUAAGGCCAAUUUUCUGAGAGUGUAAGAGCUUUCCAUCCUGAUGUAUAGGAAAUCAAGCAAGGCAGGCUGGAAACCAGCAUGGCUGAGUAAGGAUCUCCUCAUUAAACUGAGGACUAAAAAGGAAAUGCACAGCUAGUGGAAGCAGGAACGUUUUGCUUUGAUUGGCCCUUUUUUUGUUUUCCUAAAUAAGUUAGCAAUUAGAGUUUAGACGACAGUUACUCAGUUAAUGUUUACCUAUGUCACCUAUUUAAACUAGUCAUGCUAAAGGACUAAAUUUUCCUCUCUCAGAUUUAACUAAGCCUAAGUAAACAGCCAGCCUAAGUAAACACUUUGCCCAGGAACUGAAAAACAGUGUCUGGAUUCAUGGGUUUGAUUUCACUGAAGGAUGAUUAAAGUGAAAUUGGACUAGAAAGAGGAGUCAGUAAAGCAGAACUUUUCAUCUUUAGAAAGCAUUUAAAAAAUAAUUCCCUAUAUGCUUCCUCAACUAUAGGGCUCUUUCCUUCCAAAUUUAGUUAUGUGCUUACAUUUCCAAAGGUAAGGGGAAAACUGUGGAAAAAAUGCAUUUCCUAAUACUUAAAUAGUAUCUCUGAAUAUAUAAUAGCGCAAGGAAAUGCUUUCACCUAAAAAUUCCACUGUAUUUGUCCUUUUUUCAGUAACUUCCUUUUCAGCCCAGACACAAAUUUAAAUCCUUGACAUAGGCUUUAGUUUUCAUGGCAAAAGAUACACAGGGAGAAGAUAACUUUAUAAUCUGUAGAAAAGCACAUGCUUGUUUGCCUGGGCAAACAUCCCAUGUUUCCCAUCCAGUUUAUUUACUAAGAAGGCCUUAAGCAAUGUCAGUAUAGAUGACAAUAGAAUAAGAACACUCCAAUGCAUAGCAGCACUUGAUCAAUAAGUGUGUGCAGAGACAUUGGGACAAUAUUAGCUUUUCUGCUGGCUGCUAAUAUAAAGAGUUUAUGCAUAGGAGCUCACAUGUAAUGGCCCAAAGACAUAAAGUAGAAGCCUCAGCUAAUAGAAAGAAUUAUUAGUUACAGCAGAGGUCCAGUUUUCAGGGUUAAAAAAUGCUUCUAGUUUCAUUUACCAUGAAAGGAAUUUGGAGAGGACAGGAAAGGGCAGCUGAUGAUGUAUGAUGAUAAACACACAUGGGGGAGAAUGCAAAAAAUGUUAACAUUGUAAAAGGAGAAUGGAUUAAAAGAACAAGUUGUUGUUUUUUCUCUACAUGUUCCAGUAUAAGAGGAGGAUAUAAUUUUUAUUAAAUUAAGGAGUACUGAUCUGAUUUUCCUUGUUCAGAAAUCAAGGUCAGGAAAAUAUUGCUGAAUAUUACAUGGAGCAUGAAUAUUGGACGAAAAGCGAAAAGGACCUGCUGUUGUACAGUCAUGUUAGUCUCUGACUGGGUAUCUCUAGAUGGAAAUUUUGCCAUAGAAGUCUCUCUGACUGCAAUUACUAAUAUAAUUUCCCCCUCCUAUGAGAAAUAAAUAAUCUGGUUUUAUUAUAAGCAAAUUGAAUUUAGUGGGAAAACAAAGGGUGGUGGGAUAUUUUUCUCUUCUUUCAUUUAAUUCCAAGAGUUUUUAGGUGCCUCGUGGAGACUGUAAGGUGAAAGGCCCCGUCUGGGCCUGAUGCCAGGAAAAUGUCACAAUCGGGACAGGGAAGAAAAUAUAUAAAACCAGAAAAUAUACCCUGGCCACAUGGCCGGCCUUUGUGUGCGGACAGACCCCCCCGUAUGUACAAGGGGGUAGUCAUCAAUCAAUCAGGAGGGAGGGUGACACCCCCUCCUGAAUUCAAAAAAUUACCUUUUAAGGUAAAAUACCUGUUACCUGUUGAAUAUUUAACAUCUUAAGUGGCCAAGAGGGUACAAAAAGGGCACGUUUUUCAAACCACAUGUGCUUUUCCAUGCCAUGUGACUUGGGAUUGCACCCAGUGCUGCAAUAAAGGAUUUCUUGCUGCAAUUUUCCUUGUCCUGCAAGUAUUUUUUGCCAUUUCAUAAAUUGAAAGCAAGGAUUUUUGUUACACUCCCCAAGCUCUGCAAGGUUAUAUGUAACUUCUCUGAUAUUUGUAAAGAAGUUAUAUAUAAAAAUUUUUUCCCUCAAUCACUAUAUACUACCCUUUGAGAGGAGGAAAAAGAGAACUUUGUGCUCAAUGACUUCCUUUUCAAGGAUUCUUUUACAUUAAGCUUAAACAAAGCAGUUAUGCAACCUGGAAAGAAUUACAUUUCAGGAAGUCCGGAGUUCUGGAAGUGCUACCCAGCCAGGCAUGAGCUAAGCAGGCAAAGCUAUCUAAAUGCUUCUCAUGGGUCUCCUUUUACAGUGUUCAGUCAGACAGACAGAAGCCCAGCAAAAGCAAACCAUCCCAAAAACAGUCUCCCUCUCCCCAAGAGCAACAAACCACAACCGAAAGAGAUAUGGCAACAUGAAGUAGCAUUGUAAUAAAUCAGUGACUUUGCAGUAAUUAAGCAUCUUCUUGAAAGCUUUGCAGGCCUCCAUGCACAAGCUUGAGACUUUUUUAAAUAUUUGAUUAUAUGAGGAAGGCGUACAUACGACUUAUAGACACAGUGAAGGAGGGAUGAGUAUGUGUUAGAAGACUUUAUAAAAAAUAUAACUCUGGAAAGGAUAUUAGAAAUUAAAUCCUAAUGCACUAGGGGAAGGAACAUCUGUUUUAAAAAUCUGAUUUCUAAGGUGAUGAAGUUGAAUGUAAUUUUUGCUUUGUUGUAAAACAUGUGUGAAGGAUCUUUCUGUCAGAUCAAACAUAUCCUUUCAGGGUGCCAAGAUCCCUUGUAGCAUCAUCAUCCUCAGCUAUUUUAAAGCAGAACACCUCCCCCUGCCCUCCCCUUUCCUACACAUGCACACACAUGCUUGUACACCUGCUGCCUUGUAAGGAAAAACUGCUUUUGCAUUGACAUAUCAGCCAGGAUAAGGUAUUUUAUACGCAUAUCUGUAACAAAACUGAAAUACUGCUUACUUUCAUUUUCUGAACUGGUUCAUCACAGCUCCAGAUAGUCAGGACUACAAAUUUGUGGGGUUAUUUUUCAGAGACCUCUUUUUGAGUGUGUUUGAAAAGUCUUAGGGAAUUGUGUGAGUCAGGCACAGAACAGCAUUAAAGCAAUUUGAUGAAAUUCAAUGACGUCUCAGUUUAAAUAAUUCUUCAUAAAACAAGCACAGAAUCCAUUGUCUUAAGGAUCUGUAUAAGUUCCUUUUAAGGAAAGACUGCAUUGUCCAGAACUGUGCAUGACUUCAGGAAGAAGAAGACAUACAGCUUAUAGCCUCAGGGGUCUCAGCUUUCUCAGUUUUCUUCCCAUGAUGAAAAUAUCUCGUGAUACAGGUUCUUUACAAGGCCUUAUAUGAGCCUUAUAUGAAUACACAAAAGAAGACACAGGUUUCUUCUUCUUAAAGAAGAUGCAGGUUUCCCUGUGUCAUAGAUUUACUUGUUCUAAAAAACCAAACAUAAAUUUUUCUUUCUCCUGCCCUACUGUAAAAGAAAGAUGUUGAAUGGGGGAGGGUGUUUUUACCUUGGGUGAUUGAUCUACACAAAAAACCUAACUGACAGAACUGCAUUCCAAGCUGAUGUCCCUCUCUAAGGCUAUGGGGAGGUGAUGAGUUUUUUUCCUCCUCUCCUUGGAAACACUUCACUUUUGCCUUCGCUAGGGCAGCGUGUGUGUUGGACAGGUUUCGGGGUUGUUUAGUUCUCGGCCUGGUCAUCUGGCUGUUUUUUGGCCCCAGCUUGUCUGCGCUUUGUUCUGCCCCCAGCCCGGACCUAAUCAGAAAGGUCUGACUCAUCUGCAGAGGAACUUUCUGAGGAGGAGGAUGCCCUUUUCUCUCUUUGGCAGCGCUGUGUGCUCAUGGAGAAAGGGGGGGAAUCCCGGCCACAGCCAGCCGCAGACAGUGUGAGUUUUGUGGGAAGAACCUGCCUUCUUUCCCCUUUUCCUCCUUCCCCUUCUUGGGGUUGGGGGGGGGAAGGGGGUGGAAGAUCUCAAUUUUUUGGCUUCUCCCGCACACCAGGCCCCCACACGGCGACUGCCAGAGCCCAACAGCGCCCCCUGCCGACCAGCACCGAGCAACUGCAGGGUCUGCUCCUCCAGUGAUCCAACAGCGCCCCCUGCUGGUCGUGGUUGGAAUUGCGCCAGAAAAGCAGAAAGUUGUCAGAUCAGCCCUGUGGACCUUGUCCUCUGCUGUUGCUGCCUGUUCUGCCAAGACAUGGUUUGGAGAUGUGAUGCUGAAAAGCGGCGAAUGUGACUCCAAGAUGUGGUGCUGAGAAAGGGGUGAAAGUGGCUGAGCCCAAUGAAGCUGAUGCAGCAGAGCCCGAACCCCAGCACAACGGAAUGGCGGCAUGGUGCCAUGCAGAUGAUCUAGCUGUCAGGGUUUUGUCCGUCAUUGUUUUCCAUCACCUCGGGCUCAGGGAUGGGGAGUGCCUGCCAUCUUGUCUUUGUUCUGGAAGCCACGUGGAACUAAGUUGAGGUGGUGAGCAGCUUUUGUGUGUAAAGCACCUUCUCUUUUUGUAUACUUUUGUUAUUAAUAUUGCUGCUGUUAUAGUGCAUUUCUUAUUCCAUUGCUGUUUGCUUUCAGUAAAUUGUUAUCUCAACCAAUAGUCUCUGCUGUUGUCCCUCUCUUUCCAGAGGGGACAGGGGGAAGGGGAGUGGCUUGUUUGGAGUUUAAUUUCCAGCUGGUGUUAAAACCACCACACAGGACCAGAGGCAAUAGCACAAAGUGAAACACAGGAGGUUCCCUCUGAACAUUAGGAAACACUAUUUUCCUGUAAGGGUGACCAAGAACUGUCACAGGUUGCCCAGAGAGGUGCUGGACUCUCCAUCCUUGGAGAUAUUCAAAAGCUUUCUGGAUGUGGUCCUGGGCAAUUGGUGCCCCUGCUUGACGAAAGAGGUUGGACCAGAUGACCUCCAGAGGUUCUUUCCAUUUUCAACCACACUGUGAUUCUGUGAUGUUAAUAUUUAUUGAUUAUUAUACUGAGUCUGGAAUUUACUCUGGAAAUAUUAAACCUGAUAAACCUAGUUUUCCCUCAA